rnacentral:rRNA from 1 species
UACGUAGGUGGCAAGCGUUGUCCGGAAUUAUUGGGCGUAAAGCGCGCGCAGGCGGCCUUUUAAGUCUGAUGUGAAAGCCCACGGCUCAAUCGUGGAAGGUCAUUGGAAACUGAAAGGCUUGAGUACAGAAGAGGAAAGCGGAAUUCCACGUGUAGCGGUGAAAUGCGUAGAGAUGUGGAGGAACACCAGUGGCGAAGGCGGCUUUCUGGUCUGUAACUGACGCUGAGGCGCGAAAGCGUGGGGAGCAAACAGG